AUGGUGUGUACCACACUAAACGUGGACCAGAGGAAGCGAAGGAGAGAGUUGUCUCAGGAGAUUAGAAAGAAAAUUAUAGACAGGCACAUUAAAGGAGCUGAAACAUGCUGUCUGGAGAAAGCACCAUCAAACCUGAGACAACUGGAGGAGUUUGCUCCAGUGUGGGCCAAACUACCUGCUGAGAGAUGGAGAAGUUGUGCUCUGCGACUGACUGGCGACCAGUUCAGGGUGUAGUCCGCCUUUCGCCCGAAGUCAGCUGGGAUAGGCUCCAGCGCCCCGCCACCCUAACCAGGAUAAGCGGUGUUGAAAAUGGAUGGAUGGAUGGAGAUGCAGAAGUCUAAUUGAAAGGUGAUGUCUUUGUGAGGUGGCCAGGACGUAGUGAUGAUUGGGUGAAUAAUAAGUAUUAAAGAUGGUAUAUGCUGGG